AGUGAACGCUGGCGGUAGGCCUAACACAUGCAAGUCGAACGGCAGCACAGUAAGAGCUUGCUCUUACGGGUGGCGAGUGGCGGACGGGUGAGGAAUACAUCGGAAUCUACUUUUUCGUGGGGGAUAACGUAGGGAAACUUACGCUAAUACCGCAUACGACCUACGGGUGAAAGCAGGGGAUCUUCGGACCUUGCGCGAUUGAAUGAGCCGAUGUCGGAUUAGCUAGUUGGCGGGGUAAAGGCCCACCAAGGCGACGAUCCGUAGCUGGUCUGAGAGGAUGAGCAGCAAGACGGGAAGGGAGACACGGACAAGACACCUAGGGGAGGAAACAGUGGGGAAUAUUAGGCGAUGGGCGCAAGCCGGAUCCAGCAAUACCGCGUGGGUGAAGAAGGCCUGCGGGUUGGAAAACACUGUUGGUAGGAAAGAAAAGAAGCGCGUGAAACCACCGUUGUCCUGACGUUACCCAAAGAAGAAGCACCGGCUAACUUCGUG
rnacentral:rRNA from 1 species